CCCAGAAGCCAGAACAGGAAGAGGGAUCACUGCUUUCGCUGCGCAGCACUCCCUCUUCCUGUUCUGGCUUCUGAG
rnacentral:miRNA from 1 species